UACGGGGGGGGCAAGCGUUGUUCGGAAUUACUGGGCGUAAAGGGCUCGUAGGCGGCCAACUAAGUCAGACGUGAAAUCCCUCGGCUUAACCGGGGAACUGCGUCUGAUACUGGAUGGCUAGAGGUUGGGAGAGGGAUGCGGAAUUCCAGGUGUAGCGGUGAAAUGCGUAGAUAUCUGGAGGAACACCGGUGGCGAAGGCGGCUUGCCAGAACGCGCUCGACGGUGAGGGAUGAAAGCUGGGGGAGCAAACCGG
rnacentral:rRNA from 1 species